rnacentral:rRNA from 1 species
CCUACGGGUGGCAGCAGUGGGGAAUAUUGGACAAUGGGGGGAACCCUGAUCCAGCGACGCAGCGUGAGUUAAGAAGUCUUUCGGUAUGUAAAGCUCUAUCAGCAGGGAAGAAAAUGACGGUACCUGACUAAUAAGCCCCGGCUAACUCCGUGCAAGCAGCCGAGGUAAUACGUAGGCGGCAAGCGUGAUCCGGAUUUACUGGGUGUAAAGGGAGCGUAGGAGGUUCAGCAAGUCUGAUGUGAAAGGUCGGGGCUCAACCCCGGGACUGCCUUGGAAACUGGUGAACUGGAGUACAGGAGAGGUAAGCGGAAUUCGUGGUGUAGCGGUGAAAUGCGUAGAUAUUAGGAGGAACACCAGUGGCGAAGGCGGCUUACUGGACUGUAACUGACGUUGAGGCUCGAAAGCGUGGGGAGCAAACAGGAUUAGAUACCCUUGUAGUC